GGCUGCAGACACCACACUUUUGCUUCCCCAAAGACCCAUCCGUUGUUACAAAAUGUCACAAGUGCCUAUUUGUUGCGUCUCUUGCAAGGGCUUUUUUUUUUUUCCCCACUGUAUUUUUUUUUUUUACCAGUGAGAUUACAGGACCGAGUGGAAGAUGUUCAUGUCGGCAUUGUCUGGGAAUGUUAAUGAUCUGCGUCAUGCCCAGUUGCAAACCGGAUGUGUUCAUUCCUUGGACUUGGGAGAUCACUUUUCUGAGUUCUACUCUAGUUGAGAUUUUGAUUUACCUGCUUUGGCCACUGAGUUUCUACUUUUUCCUCUCCAGGAAGAAGGAACUUCGCUAAUGGUGUGGACAUCCUUCUGCACCUAAAAGAAGAUAUCAAUGAGGAGCGGAUCUCGAACAAAGCCAGCGACAAAGGCUCACCCAGCCGUCGGUGAAAAAUGAGUCCGGGCAGUCGGAAACUGACAACCUGGGCAAGAUGUGCUGGCUCCAGUUGCAGGCGCAGUAUGCUGUCAAUCGUGAAACAGCGGGUGAUCGUUUAAUCAAGCGUGUCCUAAAUAGCGUCGGUUUUACACUUGCAGUGGAAUUGAAGCUCACCGAGUUGCUGCACCAUAUGAAGACUGAUUCAAAGCAUACUUGAAGAGAACUUACGCCGAUCCUUUCGUUUUUGGGGGGCGCUGAACUGCAUUUUUCCUGUAGUCUUCACUACUGGGAUUGAUGGAACUGAACCAGCUGACCUUGCUUCCGGUUGGUACUCAUCCUUUCUUUGGCUCCUCGACUCAAUACAUGGAUCAGAAAGACAGAGAGAUGCCAAAAUGAAUCAACUAAUCAACAACGCACCCAUCAUCAAAUUAAUAGAAAAUUAUUUUGAGAAUUGAUUUAGCCUGAAGGGCCAUCAUUUACAAACCAAGCUAUCAUCCGCUUUUCUUUGGGGGAAAAAAAACGAUCAACAUUUUCCCCAUUUUGUGACAUGUUAUGGAGCAAAUCAGGAACUGAAUCAUAAUCAAAUAAUGGGGGGAAAAAAGAUUACGUUUAAUCCAUUCAGAAAAUAAUAGGUAUUUGUAGCCGUAGUAUGAAUCAUUUGUCUGAAUCGGUUCCCAAGAAGGACAUCUGUGUUUCAAAAAUGUUGCAAAGUACAACGUCAAACCCUCUCUUUAGUGAUUGCUUAAUUGUUCCUUAUUUGGUUUGGUUCAAUCACGUAACCAUACCAAAUAACACCAAUAAUCGGUUAAUAAACAGUAAUCUGCACAUAAAACGCUUUUGCAGUCAACUUGAACGCUAAAUCCUUUAUUAGACAAUUUGAUGCAUUGUUGGAAUCAUCAUCAGAGUAAUCGAUUGUAAAAACAUUUAACAGUGACAGUGCGAGACAAGAACGAUACGUGGGAAAUGUUUAUAACAGACAUCUCAGUGGUAGUUGGCUUCACAACAGGAUGCAAAGAGGCCCAUGUUCGAAAGAAGCGAACCAAGGCAGCACCUCCAACCACUUCGGUGAAUCACCAAAAGUCCUGCAAGCGAUUGCAUCAGCGCAGGCAAGACCAAAACACCCUGUUGUGUUUGGUAUCAUUGGUGGUCUGCAGAUCAAGACUAGGGGGCGGGGGUGCGUUCACAACUGUAUUGACUUGAUGUGAACUGUAUCAGAGCAAAGUGAAUGCAACGGUACCAUUUGGUGACAUGAUUUAUUUGUUAGGUAGCUAGAAGGCUACUUCCUGGUUUCACGAAUGAUGACGCGAAACGAGAGAAAAAGG